GACGAACGCUGGCGGCGUGCCUAACACAUGCAAGUCGAACGGAACUGUUUUGAAAGAUUUCUUCGGAAUGAAUUUGAUUUAGUUUAGUGGCGGACGGGUGAGUAACGCGUGAGUAACCUGCCUUCAAGAGGGGAAUAACAUUCUGAAAAGAAUGCUAAUACCGCAUGACAUAUCGGAACCACAUGGUUUUGAUAUCAAAGAUUUUAUCGCUUGAAGAUGGACUCGCGUCCGAUUAGUUAGUUGGUGAGGUAACGGCUCACCAAGACCGCGAUCGGUAGCCGGACUGAGAGGUUGAACGGCCACAUGGGGACUGAGACACGGCCCAGACUCCUACGGGAGGCAGCAGUGGGGGAUAUUGCGCAAUGGGGGCAACCCUGACGCAGCAACGCCGCGUGAAGGAUGAAGGUUUUCGGAUUGUAAACUUCUUUUAUUAAGGACGAAAAAUGACGGUACUUAAUGAAUAAGCUCCGGCUAACUACGUG
rnacentral:rRNA from 1 species